GCUGUAAAGAAUCUUUUGGGCCUGAUCCUUACUAUCUCAGAUCUGCUUAAACUUCAGGUCACAAGACUGAGGUCUCCAGGUCUAUUAUGGAUUAGCCCUGCAAUUCUUAUGGAAGAAUUUGAACAAACUCUACACGUGGACUGCCUACUGGACUAUAAUUUUUUUAAUUAAUUCCAGAAGGAUUUCUGCAAAUCAGUAGCCUUACUAUCUCUGCUAUGAAACUGACCUAAGGACUUUAUUCAUAUCUAUCAAAGGGUCGUUUUGAAAUGAUUCUUUCCUGUGGGAAGACUAGCUGCAGCCACCAUGUUUUUUAAGAAAUCCUUCUGCCCUGCUCUGGUGACUCAUCAACCUCACUUCAGUCCAGAGGCAUGUUUGGGAUGUUUGUAAUUCACGACUUAAUAAGAUGUCUUGGGCCUGUCUCUACCAGAAGCUCCUUGGAGGGGUGUGUGUGCCUGCCGCUGCCAUCUACUGGGUAGAAGCAGAACUGCUCUUAUGUCAUAAACAUGUGUCAUAGGCUCUGUACUGCUAAAUUAGUGCUCUCAAGGACUUCCUGCCGGAUGUUCCGAGUGGCCCUAGAAUGCAGCCCAGUGACAGCCACUGAUCAGAGACCUGGAGUCUAUUUCCCUCGCUGCAGGACACUGAUACGGGUCUCACGAGGGCACAAAGGAGGAGAAUAAAUUGUUCCAAGCGUUCCACCUCUUAAAGCAAGCCUGCAUGACAAAGGCUAAUUCCUGCCAUGAUGUACACCCCAAAUGACUCCACUAUGCCCAGUGGGGCUGAGGCAGGGCAAGAUUUGGCUUCUGUGUUCAAGAGCUCCCAGCCGCUGGUGCCCGAGCCUGCCAGAGUGCAUUCACAGCUCGUGUUAACGAUGACACCUUCCCUUUCUGGAAGGUGACACUGUAAAGCAGCCGUGAAUAUGUCAAACUCACUUCACACAAAAGCGCAGCUGCUGGUGGUGGAAAAGCCCUAAUUUAGGUCACCUUGUGCAUCUCCUCUGGCUGGCGCAGGACUA